UACAGAGGGGGCAAGCGUUGUUCGGAAUUACUGGGCGUAAGGGGCGCGUAGGCGGCCUGCUAAGUCGAACGUGAAAUCCCUGGGCUCAACCCAGGAACUGCGUCCGAUACUGGUUGGCUUGAAUCCGGGAGAGGGAUGUGGAAUUCCAGGUGUAGCGGUGAAAUGCGUAGAUAUCUGGAGGAACACCGGUGGCGAAGGCGACAUCCUGGACCGGUAUUGACGCUGAGGCGCGAAAGCCAGGGGAGCAAACGGG
rnacentral:rRNA from 1 species